AGCGAACGCUGGCGGCAGGCUUAACACAUGCAGGUCGAGCGGGCAUAGCAAUAUGUCAGCGGCAGACGGGUGAGUAACGCGUGGGAACGUACCUUUUGGUUCGGAACAACACAGGGAAACUUGUGCUAAUACCGGAUAAGCCCUUACGGGGAAAGAUUUAUCGCCGAAAGAUCGGCCCGCGUCUGAUUAGCUAGUUGGUGAGGUAAUGGCUCACCAAGGCGACGAUCAGUAGCUGGUCUGAGAGGAUGAUCAGCCACAUUGGGACUGAGACACGGCCCAAACUCCUACGGGAGGCAGCAGUGGAAUAUUGGACAGUGGGCGCAAGCCUGAUCCAGCCAUGCCGCGUGAGUGAUGAAGGCCCUAGGGUUGUAAAGCUCUUUUGUGCGGGAAGAUAAUGACGGUACCGCAAGAAUAAGCCCCGGCUAACUUCGUGCCAGCCGCCGCCGUAA
rnacentral:rRNA from 1 species